rnacentral:lncRNA from 1 species
UAACCCUACUGAUCAAUAAAUUGUAUAAAAAUCAUUCAUAUCAUUCAUUUUAUCGCAAUAUUAAAUAAUUUUAUUGUUAUUGACACCAUCAUAAUGUAUGCUGAUUUUCUAUGUUAAAGCUAAAAAUAUCUCAGUUUUAAAUUUUGAGCAAAGAUUUAUGAAAAAAAGGCUUUCUCAAUGGUUUAAAUGUAAAAAUGAAUAUCAAAAUGAGAAAAUUAUAGGAAAGCAUAAUAAAAGAGGAAAAGGAUCCCUCCAAAAUGUAACAGCCACUAGCAGAAGAGAGAAGGCACUGAUUAGUUGCAUUUUACAACAUAUAAGAGAAACAGUGGAUGAACUUUUCCCUUAUGUUAUUUUUUGCAUUUUAUUUGCAAAUUGCCUCAUCACAAGGAUACACUUAUAAAUAAAAUAGUAUGAAAACCUGUAGUGUAAAUGUGGCCUCUUUCAACAUAUUAAACAGAUAACCAAUAUAGUAUAUUAUUACUCUAGCAUUCAGUAUAAGAAACUGCCAGUAUCUAAUAUUAUUUAAUCUUUCCUUAUUAUCAAAUAAAAUUGAUAUAUCUGUUCACUUUAUUUCUCUCAUAAUAGAUAACUUUCUUUAUUAUAAAUUUUUUGUUAUCAGAAUGCAGAUAAGUUUUCUUAGAUUUUUUAAAUCUUUGCUUGAUU